rnacentral:pre_miRNA from 1 species
AUUCAACGUCUUCUGAACUCUCUCCCUCAAUACUCAUUGCUACAGAUAGAAAAUUCAGUUAAGGUCUUUUUUCGUAAGAAGCUCUUGAGGGUUGAGGGUUCGAAAGACGUUUAGUU